AGUCGUGCGAGAAAGUAUCUUCGGAUAUGAGUAGAGCGGCGGACGGGUGAGUAACGCGUAGGAAUCUACCUAGUAGAAGGGGAUAGCCCGGGGAAACUCGGAUUAAUACCGUAUACCUCCUUUGGGAGAAAGAGGGCCUCUCUUGAUGCUCUCGCUAUUAGAUGAGCCUGCGUAAGAUUAGCUAGUUGGUAAGGUAAUGGCUUACCAAGGCUACGAUCUUUAGCUGGUCUGAGAGGACGAUCAGCCACAUUGGGACUGAGACACGGCCCAGACUCCUACGGGAGGCAGCAGUGGGGAAUAUUGGACAAUGGGCGCAAGCCUGAUCCAGCCAUACCGCGUGUGUGAAGAAGGCCUUCGGGUUGUAAAGCACUUUAAGCGGGGAAGAUAAUG
rnacentral:rRNA from 1 species